rnacentral:rRNA from 1 species
AGAGUUUGAUCUUGGCUCAGGACGAACGCUGGCGGCGUGCUUAACACAUGCAAGUCGAGCGGUAAGGCUCCUUCGGGAGUACACGAGCGGCGAACGGGUGAGUAACACGUGAGCAAUCUGCCCUUCACAUCGGGAUAACUCCGGGAAACCGAAGCUAAUACCGAAUACGACCACUUCAGGCAUCUGAUGGUGGUGGGAAGUUCCGGCGGUGAAGGAUGAGCUCGCGGCCUAUCAGCUUGUUGGUGGGGUAACGGCCCACCAAGGCUUCGACGGGUAGCCGGCCUGAGAGGGUGACCGGCCACACUGGGACUGAGACACGGCCCAGACUCCUACGGGAGGCAGCAGCGGGGAAUAUUGGACAAUGGGCGAAAGCCUGAUCCAGCAACGCCGCGUGAGGGAUGACGGCCUUCGGGUUGUAAACCUCUUUCAGCAGGGACGAAGCGCAAGUGACGGUACCUGCAGAAGAAGCACCGGCCAACUACUGCCAGCAGCCGCGGUAAUACGUAGGGUGCGAGCGUUGUCCGGAAUNACUGGGCUUAAGGGCCGUAGCGGUCUGUUGCGUCGGAGUAAAAUCAGGCUUAACCUGAACUGUUCGAUACGGCAGAUAAAGUUG